AUGCUGACGGUAAUGACAGCUGAUAAACGGUCAGGAACCCGCACACUGGCGAUAGGUGUGCUUCGGCGCCGCCCUAAAAAUACAAGAUAUCAAAAAAAAUUCCGAAAAGCCCGCAUUAAGUUUCGCGUGAGCGCCUCGCUCCUUCCUGUCUCCCGUAGCCGAGGAGCCGUCUCCACCUGCCGGCCGCGGAGGCCUCUCCGUUGUCCACUAACCCCCUCUAGCGCCGAGCCCGCGGCCCGAGCGCAGGGCUCCGCGGGGCUCCGGGCCCCGGGCCUCCGCGCCGCCUCGCCCGCCGGGGCGCCCCCCGUGCCGCCCGGGACGCGCGCCCGCAGCCCCGGGGACCCCGACCCGCCGGGAGCCAGGCGGGCGGCGGGGGCGUCCCGGGGGGCAGCGCUCGGCUGGCCGCCGACCUCGGGCUCCCCCCGGCUGCUCGCGGCGCGCUCCGACGGGGCUGGCGGGGGCUCGCGGGGACCCCGAAGGCCCGCGCCCUCCCCGCCGAGUCAGCGCCGCGCGGCCGCGCCCCGACCUCGGCAGCCCCGCGCCGGCAGCCCCGCGCCUCUGCAGCCUGCUGGGACCCUCGCGGGUGUCGCUCGCCCUUUUCGGUGUCCUGGGACCCGGAGCAGCGGAGGCGGCACAAAGUUGAGGCGCUCGCCCUCGUGGGCAAGUUCGGGCGACCGCGCCGGGGGGGGGUGUCGGCGGCCGCGCCAGGCUCGCGCCCCCCGCGCACGGAGCAGCCCGACCGGCCCGACACGCCGGGCGCCGCCGCGGGGAGCGGGGGCGGGGGGCGGGGAGCCGGGCGCUCGGGGCACUGAGUGCGGCCCGAGAUGCCCGCACAGCGGCCGCCCAGGCCGGGGCGCGUCGCGCGAGCGGCGGAGGUGGCGGAGUCCGCGCCGCGAGCCGCCGCCGUCGCCUCCUAGGCGGGGGCCGGGCCGCGGUGGGGGGCUGGCUCGGCGCGCUCGCGGGCUCGGGCCCCGGCGGCCAGGGCAGCGCCUCCCCGGGGGCUCGGCUCGCGCGCCCGCACCCGCCGCACCUGCUCGGCCCGCCCCGCCCCGCCCCGCGCCGCGCCCCCGCCCGCGCCCGCGCCCGCGCCCUCCCCUCCCCGCCCCCGCGCGCCCCUCCCCCGCGCAGCCCGGGCUCGCUCCUGCGCGCGCGCUCUCCCGGGCCCGAGUGAAUAUCCUCGCGCGAGCGGGACGCGGCGGUGGAUGCGAUUCCGCCCGCUCGCAGCCGCCGGGAGCUCCCUGCGCCGCGGGCCGCGUCCUCCCCCGGCACCGCUGCGCCGGCUCCCGGGCGGCCUGGACCUUCGCGCGCUGCCCCCGGGGCCUCGCGCGGGGGGCGCCCCGGGACACCCCUGCGGGCCGGGCGGCGGCGGCGGACGAGGAGCGGGACCCGCACCCUGCGCUCGGCACCUGGCCGCGCUGCUGUCACUUGCCUUCAAGUGGGAGAAGCCGAGAGCCGGGAGAGUCAUGGGGGGCUGCGAAGUCCGGGAAUUUCUUUGGCAAUUCGGCUUCUUCUUGCCUUUGCUGA
rnacentral:lncRNA from 1 species